rnacentral:rRNA from 1 species
UACGGGGGGGGCUAGCGUUGUUCGGAAUUACUGGGCGUAAAGGGCUCGUAGGUGGCCAACUAAGUCAUGCGUGAAAUCCCUCGGCUUAACCGGGGAACUGCGUCUGAUACUGGAUGGCUUGAAUCCGGGAGAGGGAUGCGGAAUUCCAGGUGUAGCGGUGAAAUGCGUAGAUAUCCGGAGGAACACCGGUGGCGAAGGCGGCUUCCUGGACCGAUACUGACGCUGAGGCGCGAAAGCUAGGGGAGCAAACGGG